GGAUGGGAGAGCGAUCUGUCUGUGAUCACCAGGGUUGAUUCAGCUGAUCUGGCAGGCUAGGCGAGUGUCCCCUUCCUCCCUCACUGCUCCAUGUAUGUCCCCCCUGAAGCUGCGUGCUCGGUUGAAGAGGAUGACCUUCCAUGACAGAGGCGGUACCAUUCAUUGGUCACUGGUAUACAUACGGUAGCUAUGCUCCCCUGCUAGAACCUCCAAGCAAGCUCAAGGUCCAGUUGUAGGAGAAUGUAAGGUAGAUGUACCUUCCAAGACUGCAGACACAUCCAAGUGAGGUGUUGCACAUGGCAGUCUGCCAUUCCUU
rnacentral:snRNA from 14 species